AACCCAACCCAUCCAUCGAUUGUAAAGAAAAAAAAAGAGGGAAGGAAGGAAGGAAAGAAUUAAUAAAAUAAAAUAAAAGAAAAUCGCAGAUCAGACAGAGAAAAACCCUAACCUAAAUCUAAAUGGGUAAGAAGAAGAAAAGAGUUCCGUCAAAGGUAUGGUGUUACUAUUGCGACAGGGAAUUCGAUGACGAGAAGAUCCUGGUGCAGCACCAGAAAGCCAAGCACUUCAAGUGCCAUGUCUGCCACAAGAAACUCUCCACCGCCGGUGGUAUGGCCAUCCACGUUCUUCAGGUUCACAAGGAGUCCGUCACCAAGGUUCCUAAUGCAAAACCUGGCAGAGAAUCGACUGAUAUUGAAAUAUACGGAAUGCAAGGAAUCCCGCCUGAUGUGCUGGCUGCUCACUAUGGAGAAGAAGAAGAAGAAGCUCCAUCAAAAGCGGCCAAACUGGAUAUCCCAUCUACUCAGCUUGUGGGAGGAUUGAUGCCAGGGCCACUUGGUGUUGGAUAUCCUCCUCAGUCAACUUUAGGAGCAGUGCAGCCAAUGUAUAAUGCUGCAGUGCCUGUACCUCCUGUUGGUUGGGCAGUUCCACCUCGUCCACAGCCUUGGCUCCCACAGCAUCCUGCAGCUUCAGUUCCUCUAUCUGCACCUAUGGGAUAUGUGCAGCAGCCAUUAUUUCCAGUGCAAGGUGUGAGGCCUCCUUUGGCAGUGCCUUCAACAUCACCUUCACUCCAACCUUCACAAAUUGCUCCACCUGGAUUGCCGGUGUCAACACCUACACUUCCUGUAUCCCAACCUUUGUUCCCUGUUGUCAAUAAUAGUGUACCGACUCAAAGCUCACCAUUUUCUGCUUCUUUGCCAACAAGUGUUCCGGAAGGAAAAGGUUCAAUUGAAGCGCAUUCAAGUGGUAGUGCUUCUCUGACAGGCGGAGCUGGAGGCAAUUCUCAUUCUUAUGCCUCUGGUCCAAAUACUGGUGGUCCAUCUAUUGGACCACCCCCUGUUAUUGCAAAUAAAGCUCCUGCUAUCCAGCCAGCAGUAAACGAGGUUUAUUUAGUAUGGGAUGAUGAGGCUAUGUCCAUGGAAGAAAGAAGAAUGUCCGUAGCGAAAUAUCAGAUGCAUGAUGAAAAUAGCCAGAUGAGCUCUAUUGAUGCAGCAAUAGACAGAAGGAUCCUGGAAAGCAGACUUGCUGGUCGAAUGGCAUUUUAGUUGGGAGGAGAGGAAUGCGUCUUGAGAAGUUCUCUUGGGAUAAAUGAGCAUGCUUUUGUGAUUGCACUUCUUACAUGAAUUGGAAAUGGAUUUGGGUCAAUCAAUUUUUAGGUCCCUGUACUUUUCUCUCUCAUUUUGUAAUCCCGAGGAGUGUUAUUUUGCCACUGGGCGGUGGCUGCAGGGCCGACCGUUGCCCUCCCUGUUCCUUCUCUUUCUCUGCUCCAGCCAGCCGGCUGUCAACCUUAGGGCCGACUUCGGUUCACCCUUUCCCUUCUUUUCUCCCUUUUCAUCUUGUUCCAGUCUGACUUUUCUUCGCAUCCCCUUCCUUGCUGCUACUUUUGUUUGAGUCCAGUGUGGUCUCCGGUUGGGUUGCCGUUACAGACCAUGUCGGAAACAGUUGGCUUUGUUUCUCUCUUGCCACCCUGUCUCAACCUUCACUUUCUUCUCUCUCCUUCCUAGUACCGGCCACCCUGGUUUUACCGACCUUUUGUUUUGGUUUGAUAAUUUUGGCCUUGGGUCUUCUUGUGGUCCCUCCCUCGAAGGAAAUUUCUGGAGUCGGUUAGGACUCACUUUUCUUAGUCUUCUUGUGGUCCCUCCCUCGAAGGAAAUUUCUGGAGUCGGUUAGGACUCACUUUUCUUGGAUCCUAUGUGACUCGACUCACUCGAGUUCUUUAUGAUCUGCCUUCUUGAGGCCUGAUUGACUUGUUUUUGUUUCUCGUUUGAUGUGAUGGUUUAACAUUCCGAGCAUUCGGGAUGGACAAUUUCAGUCUUUAGUAGGUACACUGCACCAGUCAAAUGUGUUCUGUUUUGGUGGCUGACGUCUUUUGUUGGAGCAGAAGCUUUUGACAUGACUUGUAUUUGUGGUGGCGGCGUUCUUGUUCGGCGUUUGUUCCUAGGAUUAGACGGUUUUCCGAUAUGGCUUGCCUUUUGCCCAAGUUUCAUAUCGCUUUUCUCUAAUUUGUUCAUUGAGCGGAUGUGUCAAUGUGGUGAAACUUUUUGCUUUUUUUCUUUGUAUGAAUUAUAAAUCAAUGGGAAAAAAAAAUCUAGAUAAUAUGCGUUUGGAGAAGGUA